ensembl:lincRNA
CAUUUUAGCCUCUUAGGCCUCUACUGACCCAGGAGUGGCUCCCUUCCUGGGGCAGCUAGGAAUCUUGGUGAUCAGGAAUCUCACCGGGUUGACUUUAAUUGUGGGGGAAUGUUCCAGUCUUUCAGUCAAGGACUGCAGUUUCUCAGCUACCUAAUGUGCCAGGCAGAGCGGGGGAAAUCACAGGGCUCCCACCCCCUGCCUCCACUGGUAGGAGCAUUUGCAGAGAGCGAGCAUACGCCGAAAUCAGAAAAGGAAGAGGACAGGGUCACAGAAUGGCUAAGAGCUUGUGCUUAGCCAAGUCAAAAGACAAUAUGCAAGUUUCAACUCUCCUGGGGGAUAUUGGUGAGGAUUUCUUGGCUUCCUUAAGCCUCAGUUUUCUCACCUAUAAAAUGGUGAUCAUAAACAUACCUGCCUUUGAGGCAGGGCCAUCCCUGGGCUGCGCGGGCCCUAGGCAAACAUUUGUGUGGGUCCCCUCUCCAUACAAACAAACUGGGUCUUUGCAAACAGGUAGGCUGGGACCAGUCUGGCAGCCCCAUCCCACACUGUCCCUCCACAGAAACGCUGCUCUGGGUAGCCCUUUGAGAAGGGCUCUGGCCUUGCUCACCAGGCCCCGCUUCUGGAACCCCAGGACGACCCCACAGAUGCAAGUUAACAGAGGUCCUUCCUCGGUGGGCCCUACCCCUUGUGUAAAGGAACUGCCUGUGGACCAGUCCCACAUGCUGGCAAGGGACCUAGAAAAGUGGGCUGGCAAGAGAAGCUGAGUGGUCCUUCGCUGGCUUUUGAAGGAGGAGAUAAGGUGACCUCUGCCGGGACAAUUUACUUUCUUUCCAGCUUUCCUGAGACAUAAUUGGCACAGAACAUUGUGUAACUUUGGAUGCAGCCAGAUGACUUGAUACAGGUACAUAUUUGGGAAACGGUUGCUACAAUAAGUUUAAUUAGCAGAUCCCUCCCCUUAUGUAAUCACCAUUUUAUUGUUGUUCUGGUGAGAUCAUUAAAGCUCUACUCUCAAAGUGACCUUCAGAGAUACAACCCAGGAUUAACUAUAGUCACACACCCUGGCACUUCUUUAAUCCUACAACUCAAAGUCUGUGCUCUUGGACCACAUCUCCCCAUUUCCCACGCCCCUUAGCUCCCCGCUCUCUGGCUCCACGUUGGAUGUUUAUAGACUUCACAUAAAAGAGAGGUUGGACAGUAUUUGUCUUUCUCUGACUUCCUUCACUUAGCCCAAAGCCUUCAAAGUCCAUCCAUGUUGUCACAAGUUACAGAAAUUCCUUCUUCCUUGUGGCUAAGGAAUAUCACUCUUAUUUAUCCACUCAUCCAGCAGGUUUUUUCCGUGCCUUGGCUAUCUUGAAUAAUGUUGCAAUGAACAUGGGGAUGCAGGUACCUCUUUGGAACAAUAGCUUUAUCUCCUUCAGAUAUAUACUCGGAAGUGGGACCGCUGGGUCACAAUGUUGCGGAAAAUCCGAGGUGACCGAGGAAACCCAGACGGCACACAGAGUGAUGGGAGAACACAGCUUUAUUAACGCUAGCGGGCUCAGUGGGGUCCUUCCCAAAGACUGAGCACCUGACAGGGUUAGGAGUGAGUUUUUAUGGUUACAGGCAAUGGGGGAUGGUAGCGGGUGUUUUCUCUCGGUCUCUCAAGGCCAGGGCAGUUUCCUAGUCUCUCAAGGCCAAAUGGCCCUUUCACAUGGCAGUAUAAUCUGUCUCCUGAGAGUGCUAAAUCAUCUCUGGGGGCUGUUUCUCUUUCUUUUCUUAUUCAAACAGGACGGGCAUCUGGUCUUUUUCUUCUGUCUCAGCAGGAGAAAUGACUUGUUAUUUUAGUCAAAGGGGAUGGCUAUUGCUCCUUUUCUUGGCCUUCGCAGGAGCAAAGGGGAGCCUGGGAUGGAAAGGGGCUGGAGCCCGGAGUCUCUCUCCGCCUCAGCAUGGCAGUUCUUUUAUUCAUGCAUUCAUUCAUUCAUUCACUCAUUCAUUUUUGAGUAAUCUCUACUGCCAAGGUGGAGCUCGAACUCAGGACCCUGAGAUCAUGAGUUACAUGCUCUACCAACUGAGACAGCCAGGCGCCCCAAGCAGUUCCCCGUAAUGUUUUGAGGCGCCCCCAUAGUGUUUCCAUAGUGGUUGCACCAGCUUAUAUUCUCACCAACAGCGCACCAGCAUUCCCUUUUUCCUCCACAUCCCCACCAGCAUCUGUUCUCACUUUUCUACAAGAGCAAUUUUAGCAGCUGCGAGGUGACCUCUUGUUGUGGUUUUGAUUCGUAUUUCCCUGAUGAUGAGUGAUGCUGAACACCUUUCCAUGUCCUUGCUGACUGCCUGUACAUCUUUUUUUUGGAAAAAUGUCUAUUCAUGUCCCCUACCCAAUUUUUUUUAAAUUUUUAAUAAAAUUUUUUUAAAAAAAUUAUUUUGCUAUUAAGUUGAAUGAGUUCUUUAUAUAUUUUGGAUAUAUGGCUUGCAAAUAUUUUGACCCUUGCCAUAGGCUGCCUCUUAUUGUUCCCUUCACCAUGCAGGAGCAUCUUAGCUUGACGUACUCCCACUUGCUGAUUUUGG